UACGUAGGUGGCAAGCGUUGUCCGGAAUUAUUGGGCGUAAAGCGCGCGCAGGCGGUCCUUUAAGUCUGAUGUGAAAGCCCACGGCUCAACCGUGGAGGGUCAUUGGAAACUGGGGGACUUGAGUACAGAAGAGGAGAGUGGAAUUCCACGUGUAGCGGUGAAAUGCGUAGAGAUGUGGAGGAACACCAGUGGCGAAGGCGACUCUCUGGUCUGUAACUGACGCUGAGGCGCGAAAGCGUGGGGAGCGAACAGG
rnacentral:rRNA from 1 species